AGAGUUUGAUCCUGGCUCAGGACGAACGCUGGCGGCGNGNUUAACACAUGCAAGUCGUACGGGGGUCCUUCGGGGCUUCAGUGGCGAACGGGUGCGUAACACGUGAGCAAUCUGCCCUUGUGCGGGGGAUAACCAGAGGAAACUCUGGCUAAUACCGCAUGACAUCAUGUCUCCGAUGGAGGUGUGAUCAAAGCUGCUGCAAGGCAGUGCGCAGGGAGGAGCUCGCGGCGUAUCAGCUAGUUGGUGAGGUAACGGCUCACCAAGGCGAUGACGCGUAGGGGGUCUGAGAGGAUGGCCCCCCACAUUGGGACUGAGAUACGGCCCAGACUCCUACGGGAGGCAGCAGUGGGGAAUCUUGCGCAAUGGCCGAAAGGCUGACGCAGCGACGCCGCGUGAGGGAUGACGGCCUUCGGGUUGUAAACCUCUUUCAGUAGGGAAGAAGCGAAAGUGACGGUACCUGCAGAAGAAGCGCCGGCUAACUACGUGCCAGCAGCCGCGGUAAUACGUAGGGCGCAAGCGUUAUCCGGAAUUAUUGGGCGUAAAGAGCUCGUAGGCGGUUUGUCGCGUCUGCCGUGAAAGUCCGGGGCUCAACUCCGGAUCUGCGGUGGGUACGGGCAGACUAGAGUGAUGUAGGGGAGACUGGAAUUCCUGGUGUAGCGGUGAAAUGCGCAGAUAUCAGGAGGAACACCGAUGGCGAAGGCAGGUCUCUGGGCAUUAACUGACGCUGAGGAGCGAAAGCAUGGGGAGCGAACAGGAUUAGAUACCCCCGUAGUCC
rnacentral:rRNA from 1 species